rnacentral:snRNA from 1 species
GGAUGUAAGAGCGAUCUGGCUCUUACAAUCAAUGUCAUCCCAUUGAUUGCCAGGGUUGAUUCAUCUGAUCUGGCUGGCUAGGCAGGUGUCCCCUUCCUCCCUCAAUGCUUCACACUCCAUCAAAGAAUAUGACCUUCCCCAAUAGAGGAGGACAAGUCUUCAGUCAAGGGUAAACGAGUAGCUGGGAUUUCCCUGCUAGAGCCUCCAAACAAGGUCUCCAGAAUCCUUCCUGGUAGUGUGUGUAGUACACUGGCUGCCAUCAGGUUGAGGUGGAUUUGGGGGGAUUCUAAACUUC